AUCAGGGUGUCAGCAGGUUUGGUUUCUCCUGAGUCUUCCCUGCUUGGCUUGUAGACCGCUGUCCUGUUCUUAUAAGGACCCCAGUCAUAUCAGACUAGGACCUACCUUCGUGAUCUCAUUACCUGAAUUAACCUCCAUCUUUGCAGAGGUUAUCUCCAUACACAGUCACAUUCGAAGGUAUUGGGAGUUAGGCCUUCAAUAUAUGAAUGUUGGGGGGACACAAUUUAGCUCAUAACAUGGAUGUGAUCUCUUCCUCCUCAUGACGGAAAUGAAGCUCCUCUCUCGGAAUGGACCAAUAAUCUGGGUUUGUUGAUGUCACCAGCUUCCCAAGAGAAGGAAGCAUCACGUGGUGGUUUCAGUCAGGGUGACUCAGGGGUGUCGGGGGACUCUGCAAAGAGCCUCCCGUAACAAGAUGAGCAGGUGAGGUAGAAAUGAAACCUGAUUAUCGAGGUGUGGGUGAAGCAACUCCCAAUUCCAAGAUAAUAGCCUGUGGUAUCUGGGGGAGCCAGCCUCCAAGAUGGCUGCCAAUGGCCCCUGCCUCCUGGUAUUCACGCCUGUGUUGAGUCUUUCCACGCUGAGUCAGGGCUGGUCUGUGAGACCAACAGCAUGCAGAGCCGAUGAUGGGUGACUUCCAAGAUGAGACUGAGAAGGUGUGGAAGCUUCUACUUUGUUCUCUUGGAUGAAUCGCUCUGAGGAAAGCCCCCAGUAUGUCUUGCGUCUGCUCAGGUAGCCACAUGGCGAAGAACUGAGGCCUCACUGACAGCUCGUCAGUCUACUCGUCAGCCAUGACCGAACCACCCUGGAAUAGGAGCCUCCAAUCUGAGGGGAGGCUUCCGAGGAGACCACAGCCCUGGCCGGUAUCUGACUGCAGCCUCCUGUGACAGCCAGAACCCAGAGCCAAGCCGUUCUUGCAUUUCUUACCCACAGAGACUGUGACAGCUGGAAAUAAAUGAUCGCUGCUGUUUUGCAGUUGCUGAGUUAGGGUGAUUGGCUAUGUGGAAGUAGGCAAAAAAAAUUCAGUACCUCUUGUCACUCUCCUGGGAAGAAAUCCCAUAUCAGCUUCCAUUUACAGAGUAUUUUGUACCAGGCACCAGGCUGAAGGACUUCCAUUCAUAAUCCUCAUGACGGGGAGGUGGUGAGGCUGACAAGAAGAAAUGGGAGAGGCCAGAAUAAAGACGCGCUGGAAGGAGCUGGUGAGAGCAGCUGCAGCGGACGGUGCUGACUGAACACACCAGUGCCCAGGCUGCACCACAGACCAGUGGACUCAGAAUCUUUGCAGUGGGACCCAGGCGUCCAUACUCUUCUAGAAGAUUCCAACAUGCAGCCGGGGAGGAUCCACUGAGCUGUCACGUCUCACCCAGCGUCCCUUGGCCUUCACCAUUAUCCAAAGGCAAAGGAAGAGUCAGAGACAGACCGGAAGAGCCUGUCCCUUCCCCCGUAUUGAGACUUUUAGGUACAUUCUGCUCAUCUGGGCUCAGCCAAGGUGGUACUCACUGGUGUGUUCCAUUUCUUAGCCCCAUUUCCUCUGGGUUUGGGGUGAAAUGGAAUUCCCAGAAAGGGAUUUUAAUUAGGUCAUCUGGCAUAGCUCUUCUAUACAGAAAGACCCACAAGAACGUUGUAAAAACAGAUAUUUAUGACCAAGAAAUUGGCACAGCCGGUCUUCCUGACCUUCAGCCAUCUCUGACCCUGGAGCACCUCAUGUCCUGGAGGGUGGGGGGAUUUGCACACCGUGAGAAUCAGUGAGGCGCAGACAUGGGUAUAGAAGGUCUGGUUCAUGUGGUACUUGAUAAUAAUAAUAUUGAAUACUUGAUGGUUUCUGUCCAUAUUGAAAUCUCCCUGAGCCAAAACAGGAGUAAGGCAAGAGUGGUGGAAUGUCCCUGGUGACUAAAUGACUAAAUUGUCAAGGACCCUCCUCAGAGAGUCUGUACCCACAACAAGGGGAGCCGCAUGCUCUAUGGGGAUCGGCGGACGUUUCGAGAGUUGGAUUUGUGCCAAGGACCUAGAGAGUCAACUGGAAGCAGCCAGCUGGUCCCGGCAAGUCCCUGGAAAUGGGAUGAGAGGGAGCCCUGCAGGCAGCCCAGGGACCAGAGCCCUCGCUGGCACUGCAGACAGGCCCUGGGCACCGUCCGCUGGCGCCUGUCUCCCCAUUACACCCAGCAGCCCCUGUUGGGACAAAUAUUUGGUAAUUUCUCUUUAUUCUCCUGAACUUAAGUUCACGAAAUUCUAAAAAAUCCAUAUAAUGUAACACCAAAGAAAAACUAAACGGCAAGUAACUUAUAACAAAAGAUGACAUUUAAAAAGACGGCACAGCUCAGUCAUGUCUCCCCUAGAAGAUCUGACAAGGGGCUCACGGGCUGGAAGGUCUACAUAAAAUCACAGCAGGUGCAGACGAACUCCUUGCAGUGGCAAGGCACAUUCUCUGACUAGAGCUGCUGGGACUGACCUGUAUUCUGAAAUUGUGGCCAACCCUUGGCAAAGUUCUGGAAAAAACUUGAUCGUCUUUUUCCUGAAAAUUUCACUAUACAGGUGACUCUUGGACAACAUGGGUUUGAACUUCGUGGGUUCAUGUAGAUGCAGAUUUUUUUUCAUAAAUAUGCUAAAUACUGUAGUAAGGCCUGUAAAUACAUCUCUUCUUCCUUAUGGUUUUCUUAGUAACAUUUUCUUUUCUCCAGUUUACUUUAUUGUUAAGAAUACAAUAUUUGUAAUACUUAUAACAUACAAACUAUAUAUUAAUGGACUAUUCACGCUAUUGGUAAGGCUUUCGGCCAACAGUAGGCUAUUAGUAGGUAAGUUUUGGGGAGUCAAAUGUAACACACAGAUUGUUGACUGCAUGUCAAACCCUGCAUUGUUUGAGGUCCAACUGAGUAUUUAA